rnacentral:rRNA from 1 species
GACGAACGCUGGCGGCGUGCCUAAUACAUGCAAGUAGAACGCACAGUUUAUACCGUAGCUUGCUACACCAUAGACUGUGAGUUGCGAACGGGGGAGUAACGCGUAGGUAACCUGCCUGGUAGCGGGGGAGAACUAGUGGAAACGAUAGCUAAUACCGCAUAAGAUUAAUUAUUGCAUGAUAAUUAAUUGAAUUGGGCAAUUGCACCACUACCAGACGGACUUGCGUUGUAUUAGCUAGUAGGUGAGGUAACGGCUCACCUAGGCGACGAUACAUAGCCGACCUGAGAGGGUGAUCGGCCACACUGGGACUGAGACACGGCCCAGACUCCUACGGGAGGCAGCAGUAGGGAAUCUUCGGCAAUGGACGAAAGUCUGACCGAGCAACGCCGCGUGAGUGAAGAAGGUUUUCGGAUCGUAAAGCUCGGUUGUAAGAGAAGAACGGGUGUGAGAGUGGAAAGUUCACACUGUGACGGUAUCUUACCAGAAAGGGACGGCUAACUACGUG